rnacentral:rRNA from 1 species
AUUGAACGCUGGCGGCAGGCCUAACACAUGCAAGUCGAACGAGUGGCGGACGGGUGAGUUAUGUCUGGGACACUGCCUGAUGGAGGGGGAUAACUACUGGAAACGGUAGCCAAUACCGCAUAACACCAGAUGUGCCCAGAUGGGAAUAGCUUGUUGGUGGGGUAACGGCUCACCAAGGCGACGAUCCCUAGCUGGUCUGAGAGGAUGACCAGCCACACUGUAACUGAGACACGGUCCAGACUCCUACGGGAGGCAGCAGUGGGGAAUAUUGCACAAUGGGCGCAAGCCUGAUGCAGCCAUGCCGCGUGUAUGAAGAAGGCCUUCGGGUUGUAAAGUACUUUCAGCGGGGAGGCGUUACCCGCAGAAUAAGCACCGGCUAACUCCGUGCCAGCAGCCGCGGUAAUAC